rnacentral:lncRNA from 1 species
AGGGAGGUGACGAAGGAGAAAGGACAGGGCAGGCCAAGUGACUGGUCAGCCGGCUGUGGUGGUGCCCACAGGCCAGAGCGUCGCCCCAGGACCCUUCCCACCUGUGCAGUGUGGCCCCGGCCAGACGCCCUGUGAGGUGCUGGGCUGCGUGGAACAGGCGCAGGUGUGUGAUGGCAGGGAGGAUUGCCUCGACGGCUCCGACGAGAGGCACUGCGCGAGCACUGUGCCCUUCAUGAUGCCUACCAUGGCCCUGCCUGGGCUUCCAGCCUCAAGGGCCCUCUGUUCCCCGAGCCAGCUGAGCUGUGGCAGCGGGGAGUGUCUGUCUGCUGAGCGGCGCUGUGACCUGCGGCCUGACUGCCAGGAUGGCUCGGACGAGGAUGGCUGU